GCCCUUAGAGUUUGAUCCUGGCUCAGGAUGAACGCUGGCGGCGUGCUUAACACAUGCAAGUCGAACGAAGCACUUUGAUCGAUUUCUUCGGAUUGAAAUUUUAGUGACUGAGUGGCGGACGGGUGAGUAACGCGUGGGUAACCUGCCUCACACAGGGGGAUAACAGUUGGAAACGGCUGCUAAUACCGCAUAAGCGCACAGUACCGCAUGGUACAGUGUGAAAAACUCCGGUGGUGUGAGAUGGACCCGCGUCUGAUUAGCUAGUUGGCAGGGCAACGGCCUACCAAGGCGACGAUCAGUAGCCGACCUGAGAGGGUGACCGGCCACAUUGGGACUGAGACACGGCCCAAACUCCUACGGGAGGCAGCAGUGGGGAAUAUUGCACAAUGGGGGAAACCCUGAUGCAGCGACGCCGCGUGAGCGAAGAAGUAUUUCGGUAUGUAAAGCUCUAUCAGCAGGGAAGAAGAAAAGACGGUACCUGACUAGAAGCACCGGCUA
rnacentral:rRNA from 1 species